AUUUGAUUCAAAUGCUAAUUACGCACCAUUUGCUGAGCAGAGAAUCAUUCUAAGCCAGGAACCGUCUAUACUAACUGAUAACAGUAAGAAUAGAACUGAAGUCUCUGUAAAAAGGCAGUCAAUCCUAACAGAACUGUAUUAACUUAAUGAUACAUGUACAUCAAGUUCCAGCACCUCACCAAGCACCCUUGCCUUGCAUACUGAGAUGGCAA
rnacentral:lncRNA from 1 species